UGGGGAAUAUUGCACAAUGGGCGCAAGCCUGAUGCAGCCAUGCCGCGUGUAUGAAGAAGGCCUUCGGGUUGUAAAGUACUUUCAGCGAGGAGGAAGGCGGUAAGGUUAAUAACCUUAUCGAUUGACGUUACUCGCAGAAGAAGCACCGGCUAACUCCGUGCCAGCAGCCGCGGUAAUACGGAGGGUGCAAGCGUUAAUCGGAAUUACUGGGCGUAAAGCGCACGCAGGCGGUCUGUCAAGUCGGAUGUGAAAUCCCCGGGCUCAACCUGGGAACCGCAUUCGAAACUGGCAGGCUAGAGUCUUGUAGAGGGGGGUAGAAUUCCAGGUGUAGCGGUGAAAUGCGUAGAGAUCUGGAGGAAUACCGGUGGCGAAGGCGGCCCCCUGGACAAAGACUGACGCUCAGGUGCGAAAGCGUGGGGAGCAAACA
rnacentral:rRNA from 1 species